AGCUAUUAAGUUUAAUAUAACGUAUAUUUUGAAAAUAUAAAAAAGGGAAUAAAUUCUCUAAUAGCUU
rnacentral:tRNA from 1 species